CUCAGUUCCUGCUGCUCCUCAGCUUCAAAUGGCAGUCACAGAAAUUUUACAACAUCAGUGGUCGUAUACUCGGAGGUAAUGUUCCCUUAGAUGGAACUCGAGCUGCUACAAGCAUAGUUCAAGAGUCAGAUGCUUUGCUCAUCAUUGGCUCGACUGUAAUGGUUUUACCAGCCUUUCGUCUUGUGAGUGCCACUCAUAAGGGUAAAACUCGAGCCGACGAGAUUGCUUGCUUUGAGAUCGGGAGCUGUGUUGGUGAAGUGAGUUUGUCAAUGGAACUCUCAAGUCUUGUGAGCAUACAUCCAAUUGGCUGCUGCCCCC